GUCUUUCAAAAGCUUGAGAGAGUCGAUAGUGAUUGUAUUUUUAACAAACUGGCUGCAUGUGCAAGAGUCUUUGUUUUCUUUUCAUCUGUAAGUUAUGCUCAGCAUAAUGCAUUGCUUUACAUUUCUUUAACCAGAAUGACUGUGUUUCUAAGAUAUUAGUUGCUUGACAGCUUUGACACGACCAGCUGAGCUUCAUUUGCAACAUGGAAAACCCUCAGCCACUAGGUAUGCACCCUUCAGUCAAUGCAUGGGGUUUGCAGUGUUCUUCUGGGGUCAUUCAGAAACAAGGGCCUGAAUGUGAUUCUCUCUCUUGACAUGUAAAUAAAAUCUAUCAUCUUUUUGCCCAGGGCACCUUCUUCAGCAUGUCUUCAGCCAAAAUAUGUGAUUUGCUGUUCCCAGUCUGCGGUUUGCAAACUCUUUAUUGGGAAUUCCUAUUAUUAAGCAUAUUUUAAGCAAUGCAAUUGUUUAAUAAUGCAAUGCAUUGCAAAUAUUGAAUCACCCUCAUUGCAUUGCGGGUUCAACCCAUGUAGUAUGGAUUUUCUUUUAAUUUAUCUUCUGUAGAUUAACUUGUGGUUUUUGAGUGUGA
ensembl:lncRNA